GCCACGGUAGCUCAAUCGGUAAGAGCAUCACACACGGAAUGUGAAGACGUGGGUUUGUAUCCCACCUGCGGCC